rnacentral:rRNA from 1 species
UGGGGAAUUUUGGACGAAUUGGGCGAAAGCCUGAUCCAGCAAUGCCGCGUGUGUGAAGAAGGCCUUCGGGUUGUAAACCUCUUUUAGCAGGGAAGAAGCGAAAGUGACGGUACCUGCAGAAAAAGCGCCGGCUAACUACGUGCCAGCAGCCGCGGUAAUACGUAGGGCGCAAGCGUUAUCCGGAAUUAUUGGGCGUAAAGAGCUCGUAGGCGGUUUGUCGCGUCUGCUGUGAAAUCCCGAGGCUCAACCUCGGGUCUGCAGUGGGUACGGGCAGACUAGAGUGCGGUAGGGGAGAUUGGAAUUCCUGGUGUAGCGGUGGAAUGCGCAGAUAUCAGGAGGAACACCGAUGGCGAAGGCAGAUCUCUGGGCCGUAACUGACGCUGAGGAGCGAAAGGGUGGGGAGCAAACNGGCUUAGAUACCCUGGUAGUCCACCCGUAACGUUGGGAACUAGUUGUGGGGUCCAUUCCACGGAUUCCGUGACGCAGCUAACGCAUUAAGUUCCCCGCCUGGGGAGUACGGCCGCAAGGCUAAACUCAAAUGAAUUGACGGGGUCAUAGCUGUUUCCU